CCCCGCGCCGCCGCCGCCCGGCGUGCGCGCCCCAUCCCCGCGCCCAGCGCGCGAGAGUUGAGCAGAGCGGGUGGAGGCGAGCUUGCAUGUCUUGAUGAAUUAAGCUGUCACAUAGGAGAGGCCCACGUGGCAAAGAAUUGUGGGUGACUCUUGCUAACAGCCAGCAAGGACCUGAAGCCCUCUGUCCAACAGGUGCAAGGAACUUAGCUCUGCCAACAGCCACAUGAGCAGUCGUUUCACGCUGAGCCUUUGGAUGAGACCACAGCCUCGACCAACACUGUGAUUGCAGCCUUGUAAUUUGAACUAAGGACCCAGCUAAACUGCACCUGGAUUCUUUACUCACAGAAAUUAUGAUAUAAUAAAUGUGUGUUAUUUUAAGCCACUAA